rnacentral:rRNA from 1 species
UCGGGUCGUAAACGGCUGUCACUCGGGACGAAUAUUGACGGUACCGAGAGAGGAAGCCACGGCUAACUACGUAGCCAGCAGCCGCGGUAAUACGUAGGUAGCGAGCGUUAUUCGGAAUUAUGGGCAUAGAGGUUCUUAGGGGUAAUGUAAGUCCGGUGUGAAAUCUCGAGGCUCAACCUCGAAACUGCAUUGGAAACUGCAUUACUUGAAUGUCAGAGAGGAAAGCGGAAUUCCUGGUGUAGCGGUGGAAUGCGUAGAUAUCAGGAAGAACACCGACGGCGAAGGCAGCUUUCUGGCUGGCAACUGACCCUGAUGAACGAAAGCUAGGGUAGCGAACAGGAUUAGAUACCCUGGUAGUCCUAGCUGUUAACGUUGUGCACUGGAUGUGGGCGGAUUUGGUCCCGUCUGUGUCUGAGCGAAGGCGUUAAGUGCACCGCCUGGGGACUACGGCCGCAAGGCUAAAACUCAAAGGAAUUGACGGGGGCCCGCACAAGCGGUGGAGCAUGUGGCUCAAUUCGAGGCAACGCGAAGAACCUUACCUGGGUUUGACAUAUACCUGACCGCCGGUGAGAGCCGGUUUCUCUUUGAGCAGGUAUACAGGUGCUGCAUGGCUGUCGACAGCUCGUGCUGUGAAGUGUUCGGUUAAGUCCGGCAACGAGCGCAACCCACGCUGUUAGUUACCAUCAGGUAAUGCUGGGGACUCUAACAGGACUGCCCGUGCUAAGCGGGAGGAAGGCGUGGACGACGUCAAGUCCGCAUGGCCCUUACGCCCAGGGCUGCACACGUGCUACAAUGGCCGGUACAGAGGGUCGCCACUCUGCGAAGAGGAGCUAAUCCCGAAAACCGGCCUCAGUUCGGAUUGGAGUCUGCAACCCGACUCCAUGAGGUAGGAAUCGCUAGUAAAGGCGUAUCAGCAACGGCGCAUUGAAUCUGUUCCCGGGCAUGUACACACCGCCCGUCACAUCAUGGAAGCCGGCUGCACCCGAAGUCGCUAU